GUCUCUGCCUCUGGUGGAGAUGCACGAAUCACUUGUCAUGUGUUGUGCGCCCGGGCUGUGUCGAACUGGCUCGCCGUGCACUUUCUCGGAGUAGUCACCACGACCGGCGUUGUUGCCUUGCUGUUGCGGUUAAACCGGCCUUGUAGGGUCCUUGUGGCUUUGCUUGGUCGGGAUGGCAGGUAGCCCGUUGUGUACUUUUGUGCGCCUCGGGUGUAAUAGCUGACUGCAUCGGUUUUGUGCGGUACGUCGGAGACGGCGGCUUGUUGUGCGUGCGUGCGUACCUUGUGCGCUGGCGGCGCUGGGUCCGGUUGCCAUGUUGCUUGUGAAUGCAGGCCUGGUGAUGGCUCGGUGUUGUUCGGUGUGCGGAUGCGUGUGUGGCACUUUAAAGGGCCAAUAGUCUGUGGUGUAGUGGUAGACUAUCCACCUGACCCGUCUUGAAACACGGACCAAGGAGAGUAACAUGUGCGCGAGUCAUUGGGCGUUACGAAACCCAAAGGCGAAGUGAAAGUAAAGGUUCGGCUUGUCCGGACUGAGGUGAGAUCCUGUCGCUUCUCACGCGCGGUACCACCAAGCAUCGAGCGGCAGGCGCAUCACCGGCCCGUCCCAUGACGUAGUAGCAGCCUCGUGCUAGCUCACCGCCGGGGCGGAGCAUGAGCGUACAUGUUGAGACCCGAAAGAUGGUGAACUAUGCUUGCGCAGGUUGAAGCCAGAGGAA
rnacentral:rRNA from 1 species